AGCCAGUUGAGGAGACAGAUUGGAGACUGCUCUCUCGUCCUCAUCAGCUGCAGCACCCAGGGCAGAAACAGCGGCUCCCUUCCCACUGUCUCCCAGAGCCUUGCAUGGCGCCCAGUGCAGAGCGGUUCUGGAAUCAGAAUGGGCUGGAGGGAGCAAGUUACACAGAGGCCCCAUGAGAGAAGCCAUCAAUGACUUAAAUAAUGUGCAUUUGCAGAGACCUUCAUCCCCAAACCGUCCCCUCCUGCCUCCUCAAAUUGGGCCCUGCUCACACUUUCAGUCCCACCUGACCCACACAGCCUGGGCUCCACCCACACCAUGUUCUUGCACAUCUCUGAGCUUCUGUUCAUGACACUCUUCUCCUGCAGUGGAAAACUCCUACUCACCCUUAAAGAUCCAGCUUAAAAACCCUCUCCAUCAACCAUCAACCUUCCUCAAAAUCCCCGGAGGAACCUACCUCUCAGCUGCCUCACUCACUGUGCACACUGCAUUUGGGCCUUGCAUAUCUGCCUCUCCAACAAGUCGGGGAACCCUUGGGGGUCAGGCUGUGCCUUGUAUGUCUCUGUGAUCCCCACAGCUCUCAACACAGUGGUGCAAAAACCUUGGCAGAUGAAAUGAUUAAAGACACAACCCAGCCACAACAGUC
rnacentral:lncRNA from 1 species